rfam:Perkinsus marinus ATCC 50983 gcontig_1104296286856, whole genome shotgun sequence.
GGUCUCGUGGCCUAAUGGAUAAGGCAUUGGUCUUCGGAACUAAAGACUAUGAGUUCGAGUCCCAUCGAGAUCG